ACAUAGCCACAAGUUAACAUUUGUGGUCUAACCUGCCCAAUGUGCAAUUAGAAAGAUGAAUGGCCGCGGUACCCUGACCGUGCUAAGGUAGCGUAAUCAGUUGGCUUUUAAAUGGAGUCAGGAAUGAAUGGAAUAACCGGGUUUAGCUGUCUCCUUUCUAAUCAGUUGAAUUUACUGUUCAAGUGAAAAAGCUUGAAUAAAGAAAAGGGACGAGAAGACCCUUAGAAUUUUUUUUAGUGGGAAAUUUUUUUCUAAUGAUUUUGUUGGGGCGACAUGGAAAUAUAUAAAAACUUUCCUUUGAUACUUGCCGAUUUUGUUAAGUUAGGAUAAAUUACCUGAGGGAUAACAGCAUAAUUCUACAGAUGAGUUUGUGACCUCGAUGUUGGACUAGGGAACUAGCAAGCUAGCCGUUUGUUGUGUGGGUUCUGUUCGAACUUUAA
rnacentral:rRNA from 1 species